rnacentral:rRNA from 1 species
AACGAACGCUGGCGGCAUGCCUAACACAUGCAAGUCGAACGAGACCUUCGGGUCUAGUGGCGCACGGGUGCGUAACGCGUGGGAAUCUGCCCUUGGGUUCGGAAUAACUUCGGGAAACUGAAGCUAAUACCGGAUGAUGACGUAAGUCCAAAGAUUUAUCGCCCAAGGAUGAGCCCGCGUAGGAUUAGCUAGUUGGUGAGGUAAAGGCUCACCAAGGCGACGAUCCUUAGCUGGUCUGAGAGGAUGAUCAGCCACACUGGGACUGAGACACGGCCCAGACUCCUACGGGAGGCGGCAGUGGGGAAUAUUGGACAAUGGGCGAAAGCCUGAUCCAGCAAUGCCGCGUGAGUGAUGAAGGCCUUAGGGUUGUAAAGACUCUUUUACCCGGGAUGGUAAUGACAGUACCGGGAGGAAUAAAGCUCCGGCUAACUCCGUGCCAGCAGCCGCGGUAAUGUGACU